GAUGAACGCUGGCGGCGUGCCUAAUACAUGCAAGUCGAGCGAACAGACGAGGAGCUUGCUCCUCUGACGUUAGCGGCGGACGGGUGAGUAACACGUGGAUAACCUACUUAUAAGACUGGGAUAACUUCGGGAAACCGGAGCUAAUACCGGAUAAUAUAUUGAACCGCAUGGUUCAAUAGUGAAAGACGGUUUUGCUGUCACUUAUAGAUGGAUCUGCGCCGCAUUAGCUAGUUGGUAAGGUAACGGCUUACCAAGGCAACGAUGCGUAGCCGACCUGAGAGGGUGAUCGGCCACACUGGAACUGAGACACGGUCCAGACUCCUACGGGAGGCAGCAGUAGGGAAUCUUCCGCAAUGGGCGAAAGCUUGACGGAGCAACGCCGCGUGAGUGAUGAAGGUCUUCGGAUCGUAAAACUCUGUUAUUAGUGAAGAACAAAUGUGUAAGUAACUAUGCACGUCUUGACGGUACCUAAUCAGAAAGCCACGGCUAACUACGUG
rnacentral:rRNA from 1 species